rnacentral:rRNA from 1 species
AUUGAACGCUGGCGGAAUGCUUUACACAUGCAAGUCGAACGGUAGAGGGGGCAACCCCUCGAGAGUGGCGAACGGGUGAGUAAUAUAUUGGAACGUGCCCAGUCGUGGGGGAUAACGUAGAGAAAGUUACGCUAAUACCGCAUACGAUCUAAGGAUGAAAGCGGGGGAUCGCAAGACCUCACGCGAUUGGAGCGGCCGAUAUCAGCUUUGGUAGUUGGUGGGGUAAAGGCUCACCAAGCCAUCGAUCUGUAGCUGGUCUGAGAGGACGACCAGCGCCACGGGGACGGAGACACGGUCCAGACUGCUACGGAGGGGGGGAGUGGGGAAUGUUGGACAAUGGACGCGAGUCUGAUCCGGCCAUUCCGCGUGCAGGAUGAAGGCCCGCGGGUUGUGAACUGCUUUUGUACGGAACGAAAAGGUCUCUCUUAAUACGGGGGACUCAUGACGGUACCGUAAGAAUAAGCACCGGCUAACUACGUGCCAGCAGCCGCAGUAA